rnacentral:sRNA from 1 species
GUCUUGCUUGUUGCCCACGCUGGGGUUCAGUGCUAUGAUCUCGGCUCCCUGCAGCCUCCACCUUCCAAUUCAAGCGAUUCUCCUGCCUCAGCCUCCCGAGUAGCUGGGACUACAGACUUCAGAUUUUCCUGUCCUUGAUCCCAGCUGGACUGCUCAAGAAGAAAUGGCCCUUUUAGAAGCUGUGAUGGACUGUGGCUUUGGAAAUUGGUAAGAGCUUGGUGUUAAGAGUUGUCCUGCCCUAGUGGACUCAGAGAAGAAGCUGUUGUUGAAGAGUAAAGGAAGGAACCUCAGGAAGAGAAAGUAUGUGUUGCUUUCCUAUCAACCCAUGAUUUAGAGGCAAGAUGUAGCCAAUCAAAUGUGCACCAAGACCAAGGAGGAGUGUGAGAAGCACUAUAUGAAGCAUUUCAUCAAUAACCCUCUGUUUGCAUCUACCCUGCUGAACCUGAAACAAGCAGAGGAAGCAAAAACUGCUGACACAGCCAUUCCAUUUCACUCUACAGAUGACCCUCCCCGACCUACCUUUGACUCCUUGCUUUCUCGGGACAUGGCCGGGUACAUGCCAGCUCGAGCAGAUUUCAUUGAGGAAUUUGACAAUUAUGCAGAAUGGGACUUGAGAGACAUUGAUUUUGUUGAAGAUGACUCGGACAUUUUACAUGCUCUGAAGAUGGCUGUGGUAGAUAUCUAUCAUUCCAGGUUAAAGGAGAGACAAAGACGAAAAAAAAUUAUAAGAGACCAUGGAUUAAUCAACCUUAGAAAGUUUCAAUUAAUGGAACGGCGGUAUCCCAAGGAGGUCCAGGACCUGUAUGAAACAAUGAGGCGAUUUGCAAGAAUUGUGGGGCCAGUGGAACAUGACAAAUUCAUUGAAAGCCAUGCCUUGGAAUUUGAACUCCGAAGGGAAAUCAAGAGGCUCCAAGAAUACAGGACAGCAGGCAUUACCAAUUUUUGUAGUGCCAGAACCUACGAUCACCUCAAGAAGACACGGGAGGAAGAGCGCCUUAAACGCACUAUGCUCUCAGAAGUUCUCCAGUAUAUCCAGGACAGUAGUGCUUGCCAGCAGUGGCUCCGCCGGCAAGCUGACAUUGAUUCCGGCCUGAGU